UUGUCAGUGAGGAACAUCCUUACCUGUUGCUUCAUUCGUGAAGCAUCAGAACAUGAUGAUUGGACGAGGAUGAGGAAUGAUUAAUCUCACCCGCUGCUCAGGGACCUGCAACACUCUGAUCAUCCCAAUCUGAU